GAGCGCAGGGCGCUGGGCCAGGGCCCGCCUCCAGAGGGCGGUGUGAGUCCUUGGCGCUGGAGCACCUGCGUUUCGGGGACCCGGGCAGGUGUAGGGGUCUGCGUUCGGCUCCAGGCCUCCUGCAGGUGCAAUAAGAAUAUUACUAAUGUGUCCUCUGGAAUGGUGACGUGAACACAGUUCCCUGCAGAUGUAACUGGGAGAGAAGGCAGAGUCCUGACACCGGGUAAGACUGUGGAGAUGUAUUGCUGGCCCCAUCAGUUGGGAUCUCACUUUGCUGCCUAGCCUGGAGUGCAGUGGUGUAAACUCAGCUCACUGCAGCCUCAAACUCCUGGACUCAAGUGAUCCUCUCACUUCAGCCUCCUGAAUAGCUGGGACUACAGCUGUCUCUUAACUUCCUCAAAAGACAUCAGUCCUGGCUGCCCUCCAGAAGAGCCAUCCCAAGACAUUAUCUAGGCAUCAGUGUCUUCACCAGGGCAACACGGAACAUCUCCACUGAAUACCUGGUGGCUGCAGCGGCUGAUGUGAGAUGUGUGCCUGCUUUCCAUCAGAUUCCCAAAGCAGAGCCCCUGGAGGCUUUGGCCCAUGCCCCUGAGGCUCCCUUUCAUGAGGAAGAAAUUCUUUGGAAAGCCAACACCACUACUGGAGAGAAAGUAGGGGUUGUGUUAUAGAAGUACUGUCUUUAUUUUGGGAGGCUGAGGUGGUGGAUCAUGAGGUCAA
rnacentral:lncRNA from 13 species